ensembl:lncRNA
CGGGAGGCUGAGGCUCGCACUCCGCUUGCUCGCGCUCGCGCACAGGCGCUCGCACCCGGCCCUGCGCGCCGCCCGCGCUCACCUGCAUUUCCUUAACGAGCCACUUGAUGGCUGCGGCGGCGCGGCCGCGGUGGGCAGGACCGGCGGGGGGCGGCGGGCUGCUGAGGCGAAGGAGACCCGAGUCCGGAUGGCCAGGCCCGGCCUCGACCUCGGGCUGGGCGCGGAGAGCACUUGCCGGCAACCGGACGCCUGGCAGCGUCAGGCCAGGAAGCUUUUAACAAGAUGCAGCUGAGCGUGUCGAUAUCUUACAUCUUCUUACUGUUGUGUGAGCAGUUCAGCUAUUUGAAGCUUCUCGCUCUUCAGACAAGCACUGGCACCUUCCAGAGACAGUGUUCCCAGGCUUGAUUUACACUUGAUUUACAACUAUCCUCUGGUGUGCUCUGGAAAAACAUGGGACAUUGCAAGUGAAGGAAGAAUGGGUGAUGAAUGAAGUCCCUUCCUCCUCCUACCCCCCAAAAGCACACAGUAUGAGCUCACUGUGAUAGCUUCGUGUAAUGUGUACAUGUUUUUGUUACUGAUAUUGUGAUGCAAACAGGAUUGAGACUGGACUAAGGCUCUUAGGAUGAUUGCACCAAGUCUUAGGAUUUAAGGCAGUUUAUCUCCCGACCUAUCUGCUCCUCCUGUAAUAUUUACCAGGAUUUAUAACUUCAAUAAAUAUUCAGGUUUGUGUGUCUUUAUAAAGCUAUUGCUCUAUGUUUCCCAAAAAAAGUCUUUAAAUUGCCUGUCAAUGAACCCUGUGUUAAAAUAACCAUAAUGUGAAAUUGAAGCCAACAAAACAGAGAAGAUGAGAAAAGGUUUUCCCUUGGAAUGCAAGUCUACACAGAGAUUACUUUAAUCUGACAACGGCUCUUCAUUUACUAAGUAUUAAUUUUGCUUUGUUGUGCUUAAACUUAUAAUUGGUUUGAAUAGCCUGCCAUAAGUGGGAGAAAUCUGAAUUUACAUUUGGUUUUUGGAUAUGGGAGUUAAUAUCACUUUCCUGCUUCAGCUUUUAAGUUGAGUUUAGCAAGGCAUCAGUAGCAAAUCUACAGCAAUGAUUUCCUGUUUUAAUAUUUUCUCUAAAUAUUUUAAUAGCAUCAUGAGGAAACUUCUUAAUUAUACAGCACUCUGUAUUGUAGAAUUUAGUAGAGGGGGGAAAAGCAAAUAGGAGGAUAGUUAUAAAGCAAGAAGAACAUGAAGCCUGUUGAAAGGAAGUGUGUGGUUUCAGAGGAUACCCUCUGCCUCCCCAAUACACCCACCCCGGUCAUCCAAGAUUUCUUAUGUGGUUUAUUUCCCUACAGGUAGCCACAGUCUAAAACUGUAUUUGUCUUGACUAUUUCAAGAAAGAGACCAUAUUCAAAUAACUUUUCUAACAGUAUAUUGUACAACUGUUUCAUUAUCAAUUGCUGUUGCUAAUAUCUUACUGCUCCUAAUUCAUGUUGUAAGUUAAAUUCAUGUGUAUAGCUAAAAAUCCAGUACAUAUAGAAUUUGGUAGAUUGGUUCACAGGUCUAUGGAGAACACUGGUAUUAAUUUCCAGAUUGCCAUUCAUGUUUGGUGUAGCCUAAGAAAUAGUAUACUGGAUUAAUAUUUGGUUAACUACAGCCUUCCCGCUAAUGUUAUG